GGAAAGUUGCAAAGAACUUUGAAGAGAGAGUUCAAGAGAACGUGAAAUCGCUGAAGUGGAACCGGAGAGAGUUAACUUAACUUGGUAGCUAUAUUCUCUAGGGUCGCUUAACUGUGGCUGUGGGGGAUGGACGCUACCUGUUGUUGCACUGACUGCGUUGAUCGUGCUUUCCGAACAGUGUAGCGUUGCCCACUUUGUGGUGUCUUGCUCGCUGGGAGGUUUGUCAUGGUUAACGUAUAGCCUUAGUCCCGAGGGAGUCAGUGUGAAAGUUAACCACCUUUCCGACCCGUCUUGAAACACGGACCGAGGAGUGUUGGUUAUACGCGAGUCAAGGAGUGGUGAAAACUCUAGGGGCGGAAUGAAAGUAAAGACUAGUUAACUAGUUGACAUGGGAUCCGCUCUUCGGAGCGGCGCACCAUGGCCCUGUCUUGUCUGCUUGCAGAUGGGCAGCGGUAGAGCGUAUAGCUUGCGACCCGAAA
rnacentral:rRNA from 1 species